rnacentral:rRNA from 1 species
GACGAACGCUGGCGGCGUGCUUAACACAUGCAAGUCGAACGAUGAAGCCCAGCUUGCUGGGUGGAUUAGUGGCGAACGGGUGAGUAACACGUGAGUAACCUGCCCUGGACUCUGGGAUGACCCCGAGAAAUCGGAGCUAAUACCGGAUAGGACCUUUCCUCGCAUGAGGUUUGGUGGAAAGUUUUUCGGUUUGGGAUGGACUCGCGGCCUAUCAGCUUGUUGGUGAGGUAAUGGCUCACCAAGGCGUCGACGGGUAGCCGGCCUGAGAGGGUGACCGGCCACACUGGGACUGAGACACGGCCCAGACUCCUACGGGAGGCAGCAGUGGGGAAUAUUGCACAAUGGGCGCAAGCCUGAUGCAGCAACGCCGCGUGCGGGAUGACGGCCUUCGGGUUGUAAACCGCUUUUAGUAGGGAAGAAGCCUUCGGGUGACGGUACCUGCAGAAAAAGGACCGGCUAACUACGUGCCAGCAGCCGCAGUAACAC